GGCUCAGGAUGAACGCUAGCGGCAGGCCUAACACAUGCAAGUCGAGGGGCAGCACGGGUAGCAAUACUUGGUGGCGACCGGCGCACGGGUGAGUAACGCGUAUGCAACCUACCUUUUACCGGGGGAUAGCUCAGUGAAAACUGGAUUAAUACCCCAUAACACAGGGAUACCGCAUGGUAAUAUUUGUUAAAGCUCCGGCGGUAAAAGAUGGGCAUGCGUGACAUUAGCUAGUUGGUAGGGUAACGGCCUACCAAGGCGACGAUGUCUAAGGGGUCUGAGAGGAUGAUCCCUCACACUGGUACUGAGACACGGACCAGACUCCUACGGGAGGCAGCAGUGAGGAAUAUUGGUCAAUGGGGGCAACCCUGAACCAGCCAUGCCGCGUGAAGGAAGACGGUUCUAAGAAUUGUAAACUUCUUUUGUACGGGGGUAAAGACAGAUACGUGUAUUUGUUUGAAAGUACUGUACGAAUAAGCAUCGGCUAACUCCGUGCCAGCAGCCGCGGUAAUACGGAGGAUGCGAGCGUUAUCCGGAUUUAUUGGGUUUAAAGGGUGCGUAGGCGGACUUAUAAGUCAGCGGUGAAAGACUGUCGCUCAACGAUAGCAUUGCCAUUGAUACUGUAGGCCUUGAGUACAUUUGAGGUGGGCGGAAUGUGUAGUGUAGCGGUGAAAUGCUUAGAUAUUACACAGAACACCAAUUGCGAAGGCAGCUCACUAAACUGUAACUGACGCUGAGGCACGAAAGCGUGGGGAUCAAACAGGAUUAGAUACCCUGGUAGUCCACGCCGUAAACUAUGAUCACUGGAUGUUUGCGAUACACAGCAAGCGUCUGAGUAAAAGCAUUAAGUGAUCCACCUGGGGAGUACGUCGGCAACGAUGAAACU
rnacentral:rRNA from 1 species